rnacentral:rRNA from 1 species
CGCCAGACUCCUACGGGAGGCAGCAGUGGGGAAUAUUGCACAAUGGGGGAAACCCUGAUGCAGCGACGCCGCGUGAGUGAAGAAGUAUUUCGGUAUGUAAAGCUCUAUCAGCAGGGAAGAAAAUGACGGUACCUGAUUAAGAAGCCCCGGCUAACUACGUGCCAGCAGCCGCGGUAAUACGUAGGGGGCAAGCGUUAUCCGGAUUUACUGGGUGUAAAGGGAGCGUAGACGGCAGCGCAAGUCUGAAGUGAAAUGCCGGGGCUUAACCCCGGAACUGCUUUGGAAACUGUGUUGCUGGAGUGCUGGAGAGGCAAGCGGAAUUUCUAGUGUAGCGGUGAAAUGCGUAGAUAUUAGGAAGAACACCAGUGGCGAAGGCGGCUUGCUGGACAGUAACUGACGUUGAGGCUCGAAAGCGUGGGGAGCAAACAGGAUUAGAUACCCGGGUAAAG